rnacentral:tRNA from 1 species
GAGGAUGUAGCUCAGUUGGUAGAGUGCAUGCCUUGCAUGCACAAGGCCCUGGGUUCAAUCCCCAGCACCACA